GCUAUCAUGAUAACUGGGUUAACAUAAGAGGCAUGUCAGAAAGGAUAAAACAUGAUAUGCAAACAUAUGCAUUCACAUUUAUAGGACUUUUUACUUUGUAUACCUACAAGUGCUAGACACCAGAUGGGUCCAGAAUCAGCGAGUACAUUAUUUCCACAAAACAAGCAUAGAAUUGUCAACACGAGCUAGAAUGAGACCGGGGAUUGGCUUAUACUUUCCUGGUGACAAUCAGACAAUGAAGCAGGGGAUUGGCUUAUACUUUCGUGGUGACAAUCAGACAAUGAAGAUGGGUAUGGUUGCCGUUCGAUCCUCCACAGAUCAAAGUGCAAAACACUAGUUAAAAAUAAUGCUGCACGUUAAACACGAAAGAGAGGUGAUAAUUAAGAUUGGUUUAAAAAAUGAAAUGCAAUUUUAACAGCUGAUAGCGUUUAUCAUAAAAACUGUUGACAACUUAGCACUGUUUAUUUACUAGACUUUAAAAUAAAGGAAAUAAUUCUAAAAUAACAAAAAUUGUGUAAAGAACAUCAUUCUUUAAAGUUAUUUUUCAUAAAUGUAUAUAUUGUUUUAC